UGCGGGGUGGAGCAGUCUGGUAGCUCGCUAGGCUCAUAACCUGGAGGCCGCGUGGUUCGAAUCCCGCCCCCGCUC
rnacentral:tRNA from 1 species